UAUCCGGGGCAUGCUGGGAAGGCUCCCAGAACUGCUUAUCCGGCUUCUGAGGGUGGGGAAGGUACCCCCAGGCGCAGGCACACAGUACAGUGGGGUCAAGCAUCUAGCUGACCUAAUUAAAAGCUCAUUACAGCAGCCCAUCCCCAUUAACAGGCUGACCCACGUGCAAAUCCAUUAACACAGGAGUCUUCUCUGCUUCCCAAACCGGGAAUCCCAGCCGCAGCCCCGGGGCCUGGAAACUCCGGCCAGUUUAUUGAAGUGCCUUCCCCGCCUGUGACCAUCAGGCAAAGGGAGAAUCUUACCGGGAAUCUCACUUCUAGCCAAUGAGGAAUUUACAGAAAAGCGAAAUGGAAGGAAUCAUUUUGUCAUCUGUGCAAAUCUGUAUUCUGAAAGGUACUCAGAUAUCCACGAAGUCCUCCUCAUCUCGCACUAUUAUUUCUCUCACUGGGCACAAUCCAGCUUUAAAGAAUUCAACACUUACUGGUCUUCAGAGGACUGUCAGCAAUGACAGCAACCAGGGAUGCUGACAUGUCUUGUUGUUUACAAAGGAUGAGCACAAGGCCUUUUGGAUGACUUGAUAAGCCCUGCAACUCCUCUCUCACUGUUUCUCACCUCUCUGGACCAGCUGGCUUUGUGUGGUGGUGAAACUGCGAUUUUCGGAUCCAUGCAGCUUUAUGGAAUAUAGUAUGGGUGAAUUAUGAACCCAGGUCUGUAUGCUUCCAGGUAAGUUUUCCAUUUUGCCAUACUCUCCUGUGAACCUAGUCUGAAGGUGGAGUUCUAACUGGGACACUGAGGACAGAAGGGCCCAUUAAUUGAGACUUUGAACAUGAGAAAAAGUGGAAUGCAAAAUAGCAUGCUCACAGCUGUUUUCAAGCAAUAGCACUGUCUAAAACCGCUAGGAAUGAAUAGACCUAUGUGGCUAGAAAUUGAUGCAAAGGAAGAAUAUUCACUCUGGGUCAGUUUUUGAGCCUAUAGAAUUAGCUAAUAUUGUUGAUUUUGCUCAUGGCUGCCUCUCUGAUAUGUUGGAGGCAAUUUCCAUCUUCCUAACAAGUUAAAUGCAUGUUGUGAUUUUAGCAGGCUAAAGUGUUAACUCUUGUUUAAAUAUCUAUAUUUAGCAUUAUUCAUAGAAGUAACACAAUUACCUUCUUUUCCAUACAGAGAGCAUGACUUUUUCAGAAAAGUAUUCAAAGAAUUCAUUGGACCAUUAUGUUAGGGACACUUAUUCAUCAAUACCGGAUACAGAUUUGAUAAAGAUUUGUGCUCUUAUGGGAUGCACUAUUCAUAUACUAUUAUUAUUAUUAUGGCCUUGAAUAUUUAAUCUGUUUCUCACAUUAGCAUCCCUAUCCACAUAUAGAUUGGACUUACUAGUGCAAUUUCUAGCAAAAUGAGAAUGUUACCAGUAAUCAUCACACAAAGGAUGUCAUGGUAAAUCAAGGCUCAGAAAAUGAUAUGCUACCCAAGGGAUGUAGCAUUGUGCUUCUACCCUGUUUCUUUUCAAGCCCAGUUACACCAGUUUCUUAUUUAGUCUGGCUGUGGCAUUCAGAUAUUUGUUCAGCUCCAGGUUUUGUUAUUUCUGUUUUUUGUUUGAUUCUGGCUUGAGCUUGUAGGGAGUUAAUUGUGUAGUUUAAGGUCCUUCUGCUUCUAGCUCAUCUUGAAUCCAUGUGUCAUUUUCGUGACUGGGUUUUAAAAUUUCUCAAAUAAAUGCAUUGGUCUGCCUGCCUAGUGUUUGCAUAUUUUAGGCUUCUAUCUGCGAAGAGAAGAGGCCAUGAGAUCUGCUAACACGCAAAAAAGAAGAUAAAAGCAUUUUAAAAAAUGCCUUCUUGCACACAGGCCUGCUUUAUAAUAAACCAGAGCAGUGCAGGAAUUAAGAUGUUGUUGAAAUGCCAAAGUGUUUCUGCCCUUUUAUUACAUCUAGGGUGAUGAGGUCAUGGCUUACUGUUUAGCUUAUAUGGUACAAUUAAGAGAUUCAUUUCUUAAUGUGAUUCAUCUCAGGAAGAGUUGACUCAGAAAAGUUUUAGGGGAGAGGCAAGACUCAUAGGAGAUGUAGAAAAAUUAUGAUUUUCUUCUGGAAGUUCGAGUUCAUUUUUUAUUUUUAUUUCAGGUAAGAAUGAGGAGAGCUGUAAUGAGUCUGUCUUGGAUUUCUGGGUAACAGGGAGUUGCUGUUUUGAGACAGGAUCUCACCCUGUCACCCAGGCUGGAGUAUGGUGCUAUGACCAUGGCUCAGUGCAGCCUUGACCUCCUGGGCUCAGAAGAUUCUCCCACCUCAGCCUCCCAAGUAACUGGGACCACAGACCAGUGCCACCAUGCCCUGCUAUUUUAAAACAAUUAUUUGUAGACACAGGGUCUUGUUAUGUUAUUCAGGCUAGUGAAAUUUGAUUAUUUAAUGCUAAUAAGGCUAAAGAGGUGGUUUGGGUUUUGGCUUUUUUCCUCCCCCCUUUGGAAUUAGGGCAAAAAAGUGAAGUAAAUAUUUAUUUUAUUAAGAUCUCAUUAUAUCUUUGUUUGUAGACAUGUUUAAAUAAAAUAGUAUCUCAGAUAUAUCAUAAUAUCUGGCCAAGUGUGAUGGUUUAUGCUUGUAAUCCCAGCUCUUUGGGAGACUGAGGUGGGAGGAUCACUUGAGGCCAGGAAUUUGAGAUUAGCCUGGACAACAUAAUGAGACCUUGUCUCUACAAAAAAUAAAAAAAAUUUAGGUAGACAUGGCAGCGCACACCUGUAGUCCCAGACACUUGAGAGGCUGAGUUCGGAGGAUUGCCUGAACCCAGGUGUUGGAGGCUGCAAUGAACUAUCAUUGCACCAGUGCACUCCAGCCUAGGUGACGGAGCAAGACCCCAUCUCAAAAAAAAAAAAAUAUAUAUAUAUAUAUACACACACACACAAAUAUGUAUUCAUAUAACUAUGUGAUAUAUAUAACUUUUAUAUUUUGUAUGCGCAGCUUUUUAUUGUGUUGUUUCUUUGUCAAUCCCUGAUUGAGUUCUUUCAAAUACAGCAUUUAACUUCCUAUUGCUGAAAAAGAGGUGGUUUCUCCAUUUAGUUAGGGUGGCAGUUCUCAAUCACAGUCAACCCCAUUCACAAGUAUGUGACAAUACAGAAAUGUUGAUAAGUAAUGGAUCAGGCCAUCUGUAUUAUUUUAUAGAAGAUUUAUUCAUGGGCCUCUGUUUGGACAGCAUUUAUUCCAAUUCUUUCCUUCCCUGCAAGUUGUCCUUGAUUAUGAUUCUCAGCUUGGUCUUUUAUCCACAGUCAACUUUUAGUGAAAAUUCCUAAUUUCUGUACUGGUUAGUUUAAUAUAAUAAAUGUUUAUGAAAUUCCUGUGCUGUUUAAGACACCCUGCUGGGUACUCAGGAUCAUUUUUGGAGGGAUUAACUACUGUCUCUGUCCUUUAGAAGGAAAUGGAAAAUUUUGCCGUAAUGAAUAUAAGUCAAAUUGGGAUAAACACUGUAAAAAGGGGUAAGAAAGUAUCAUAUGUGCCCUGAGGAGAGAGGAAUUUAUUUUGCCUAGGAAUCCGGUAAGGUUGCUAGACUUGGUGACAUCUGAAAUUAGUCCUUAAAGGAGAAACGAGAUUUUGAAUAGAUGAAGUGGGAGAAAACAUGCUAAGUUGCAGAAGUGUGAAAUCCCAUAAUAGAGUCAAGGAAAGGAGAGAGGUCUGUUUCAACUUGAGCAUUAGCUGUGUGUGAGGUGUGUAUAAGGAGAAAAUGGCAGGUGAGUUGGAAAAAAUAGAAUAUUUUCAGUUCCUGAGGGACAUUGAACAUUAUGCUAAGAAAUUUGGACUUGAUUAAUAAAAGAAAACAGAAAGCUAGUAAAAGUGUGUGGAGUGAGAAGGCACACCAUGAUUAUAACUGGACUUUAGAAAGGUAACUAUUCGGGGUGUUGAAGAUCACUUGGCGUAGAGAGAAAGCAAGUGGAGACAGGGAUCCAUCGGCAGGCUAUUAUAAUAAUCCAGGUAUAGGUGAAGUGAUGUAGGACGGUGAUAAUAAAAGCAGAAGUGAGAGACAUUCUGAGUCUAGAGCUGGAUGUGGUGGGAAUCAGAGGUAUUCACAGAUGACUCUGAAGUUUGCAGUUCAUGCCAUUAGUAAAUGAAGAAACCAUGAACUGAGAGGAAGCAGGUUUGAAAGAGAAAACAAUGAGUAUGUGUGAUGUUUGUAAUACACUGUGAUUAUACAUAUCAUUUCUUUCUUCUUUUGAACUAGAUUGUUACAGCCAUUCUUUUUGGAUUCCAUUAUUAGAAUUAUAGCCUAUUUUGCUUUAAAUGUAGGAUCCUGACACUUUCUGAUUCCUCAAAAGAGGGGAAGAAAAGUUAUAUCUGCUCUCUACUACUUCUGAAUACAUUCCUGUUUACUAUGAUCUCAAUGUGUCUGUGAGGAAGAUCUUGAGCCCUACUCAAGGUAGACUCUUUGACCUAACUCCCCUUUCUCUGGCCAUGCUCCUGAGGAUGAGACAAUUAGAAAUCCUCACUAAUGCUUAUAGGAUUCUCAGAGUUAGACAGAACUGGCCUUUGUCAAGGUAAAUUGGAGCCAAAGUGGAUUCUUGGAUCGUGUAUCUCCUGCUGGUUGUGAAGCUGCCAGACCCCAUCCCAGUGGGUGGAAAUGGACACCAGCCCCCGAGGAAGUAAUGGCUGUACAUGGGCGUCUGCUACCGCUGCUGCUUCCUCUCCUUCAUGAGGAAGGAAACCGUGGGCUUUCCUAGGCAUUUUUCUUGUUCUCUUACACAGGGGAACUGAAGAGUCUUGGCCUUUGGAGUUUGAAUAGUGAAUCUAAGGCUGGAGGGGUUUCCAGAGAGCAGACAGUUUCCAUCUCUGAACUGUUGUUACUUUCUUCUUCCACCCCCAUUCCUGUGCUGUACAAUUCAUUCUAUCGCCAGACUUUUAGUGUAUAGUGUUAGCAUGUCUUAAUGGAGAGCCUGGAGUUGAAAGCCCCUGUACAACUUCUAGGCAGAGAAACCUCAAUGGAAGGAAGGAAUUGUGCCACUGUGGUUUCCUCCUGCAAAUAAAAUUUAAUUUGUAAAGAUAUUCAGACUUCUUUUUUUCCUUACCAGAUUUGCACACCAUAUAUUCAAUGACAAGUCCUCUUGAAAGGUGGUGAGAAGUGUUACUAAAAUUCCAAAUAUCUACUCCUCAUCUGAUAAAGCCAUUCCGAUGUUUGCAGUAUGAAUUUGUUUGCAGUUAGAAUUCCCCACAUUGACUACAAAUCCCAGUCCACAAAUUCAGCUCUGAAUCUCUGGAAAACAGUGUGCCAUGGGUAGAUCGAUCCAAUUAGACUGUAAAUUUAAGGCACCAUGUGCUUUAUCUGACUGAGCAUUAACAAUUUAUUCAGCCCAUUUUGCAUCCCUUUUCCCACCCGAGCAAAUUGAGAACACUACAUUUGCUUCUUCAUCUUUUUCCCUUCAUGUUAUGGCACAAAAUCAUUUCUCCAGUUCCAGUUCCUUUGAUGUUUGCAACAGCAAUGAUGAAGAGAAAACACAUCUUCAAAAGAGGCAGAAAUAUGGUAAGCAUUGCCCACUGAUAGUAGCUAAAAGGCAUAUAUUAAACAACUACAGAAUACCCAGCACAUUGAUGAGUCCCGUGUGGUGCAGAAAGAAACAAGCCCCUUCGGAGCUCACUGCAGACAUAUCUGAGUGAGGGAGGAAAGGGUUUGGAGCCCAGGAGUGGGAAAAAACGUAUCAUCAUCUCAUUGCUGGACUCUGAUCCCUUAAAGUCCAAAUUGAGGGGGAAAUGGUCAGAGGAAAAGCAUGUUUUCAGCCCCCUCCCAUUUUAGAGACAGUCUAAGAUGGAGAUAGCAGGAGGGGAAGGAUAGAUAUGGGAUGGCCAACUAGUUUAUUUGCAAUAGGCUGGUUUUAAUUCUUCAAAGUAGUGAGUUUGAGGGCAAUGCAGUGCAAAAGACAACUUAUUUAUUUCAUGUUAGAUUAUAAGCAACCUUGAAAGGCAAAAGUCCUCCUUUUUUUGACUUAAAAAAAAAACAACCCUCUGCAGUAUCCUCUCCAAAGGCAGCAGGUUAAGUGGUAGGGUCCAGCCCUCAAAGAAACUGCUUUUCUCCAUUCUCCACACACUUCCAUAGACAAUUGUAAGUUGAGAGACAAAUCCUCCAUCAGACAUAUUUUCCUUGUCAAAUCAUGCCCAUCCCACCUGACCGACACUGAUAGUCCUGGGAGCCAAUUCUGAUGCCAACCUGUGUUGAACUCCUAGAUGUGAGUGCACUUUCUUGAAGGGCAGGUUGGGCUAAAACUUGACCUUUGGGAGCUUUGAGAGGUGGGAAGAGGAGCAGAGGGCUGCCAGGGAAAGAGAGAUUUCCUGGUUAUUGCUAUAGGGAGUCUGUUUACUUGCCUUCAAGGGUCACAGCCAUCUGAAUGGGCUUCUCUGGCUCUGCUCUUGGGUUUGAUUUCAGAGGACUCGGUCCUGUGGAAUUCCACUCCCCAUCGACCCUCCCCUUACUGUUAGGUAUAGGACUUUUAUUCCACAGUUAUGACUCAAGCCUUCCUGAGGAACACUGCAGCUUUCUUGCAGGAGCAGCAAUUGGAAAGGCUGUUUUAAGUGGAGUUUACUGCUGUUGUAUAAACCUUCAUUUAAAAUUGACUAUAAAGUGUUUCUGAACCUGCCAAACAUGCAUUAAAAUAUUUUGCUCCAUUUAUGCCUAUGUGUAACAUUUGGUUUCUAAAAAGCUUUAAUCAGUAAUCUUCAAGUAGGAAGUUAUUCAUCUUUAUUGCCAGUCGGUUCUCAGUGGUGGUCGUGGCAACAAUCUUUUUAUUGCUUCUGUGUUUAGUUGUUCUUUGACAUGAUAGAAGUCAGCUGCAGUUCAAUGAGCUCACUAUUUGUGCAACUUAAUUGCUUGCUUCCUUCAAUACAUACUAAAUUUUUCCUUUUAUGAGCAGGGCUGUUGGAAAAAUUAAGCUUAAGGAUAUAGCCAUACACUGUUAAUUAACCUCCUUCCCAAACACAUUAGUAAAAUAGGUCAAAUAACUGCUGAGUGCUAAGUGUACUGUUACUAAGGUCUUCCUCAGCUGAGAAGUGAAUCCUGUAUUAAGUGGACAAAUAUUGGAGCAUUGAGUAUUUUCUGGAAGCCAUGAAGACAUAAGAAUAAUGCUUUAUAACAGUAUUCUCUGCUGCAUCGUCUCCUAUAGGUUGUAUGUAUGAUUUGACUUUAUUUGGCUCUACCAUGAUUUUAGCUUAUUUCAUUAUGUCUGUGUGAAAAGAAAUAAAAUAUUUCUCUGUGUGUGGUUUUUCUUUUUUUUUUUUUUUUUUUUUUUGUUUAUAGGUUAUUGCUUCUUUUAAAAGGGGAACCCAAAAUUCAACUUUCCCUUUUAGUAGUAACCACUGCUGUUAGUUUGAUUCACAAUUCUUAGAAAAAUCUGGAUGUUGCGAGGAAGUAUAAAUGCUUGUGAUGAGUACAAAAAUAUGCUCAGUGAAGGAACUAAUCUAUCAAAAUAGACUUAUAUAGAACUCUUAUAAUUCCUCUCCAUGUCAGGAUUAUAUUCAGAUGGAAAAUCACUUUAAUUGCAGUGGUGAAGGGCAGAUUGGAGCUUUACCAGCUUGACAGAAAAUAUUUUGAUGUUUAUAGACCAAAGAAAACAUGAGAGUUCCCGAAUUUGGCAGAAGGCAGGAAAAUGUCAGAGUAUAGUUUAUACUUUUAGAAAGGGGAACACAAAUGCAAAGACAAGUAAAAUGGGAGCAUGUGCCAGAUAGAGCUAAAGGUGGACAUUUGUGAUCUCCGUCCUCUAUCUGCAGUUCUAUGUUUAGCCUUUAAUUGGGAGUUAGUAAAGAGAAAAAGGAAUCUCAACAUCCCCCCUUAACUAAAUGCUAAACCAAUAAACACAAUAAAUUUCUUAAAAACUAUUAGUUACAAUCUAAAUCUUGUAGACAUAUAGGUAGAGAAUCCAUAUUUCUAAAAUCAUCUGUUCUGAUAAAAUCACUACCAAAUAUCAGUGGGGUCAUUACUCUUCCAGUGUAUUUGUGCCUCCGGACUUGGGUGUAUUUUCUGCAUUAAGAUUAUUUAUUGAAAACCUUCUUGCAGCACCUUUUUUCCAAUGUUGCUUCAGAAUAUCAGUGAAUUGAUGAUAUUCUGAAUAGAACUGAUGUUGAAAUGGUAAACUUUGUGGAUCUUACUUUGCCUACCUGCUAAAGAGGGAUAACGACCCGUUGUCGGUCUACACUCCAGGGGAUUGUUAAAAAAAAGUUAAUUAACCAUUGUCAAGCGCCUGAAGGCCAAAGCGUUUUCCCUGUACCUUACUGUAUCACAUCUUGAUGAAGGUUACAGGAACAACUUCAUACUCAUUCGUUGUGGGUUCUUUUUUCUUUGUCUUUUUUUUAGACAGAUUCUUGCUCUGUCACCCAGACUAGAGUGCAGUGGUAUCAUCUCAGCUCACUGUAACCUCUACUUCCCAGGUUCGAGUGAUUCUCCUGCCUCAGCCUCCCAAGCAGCUGGGAUUACUGUCAUGCACUGACACCUGGCUAAUUUUUGUAUUUUUCAGCAGAGACAGGGUUUCACCGUAUUGGCCAGGCUGAUCUCAAGUUCCUGACAUCAAGUGAUCAGCUCACCUCAGCCUCCCAAAGUGCUGGGAUUACAGGAAUGGGCUGCCGCGCCUGGCUAGUUGUGAGUUCUAAAGCUUAUUCUCUCUUAUCUUUUGCCUCGAUGAGACCUAAGAUGCAAAUGGCAGAUUGUUGACACAUGGAAAAUAGUUGAACCAUCUGAAAGGUUAAGUAUGGGAAGAGGGGCACUGCAUUUCCACAUGCCUGUAGAUGCUCUGGUGCCUAUCGUUUUUGUGCUGGUCCACAGACUUCAGGCUCAGGGAAAAGGAGACUGUAACUUUUGGUGAAGAAGGAGCUGCUAUGAAUCAAAGUCAAGGGAUUGAAUUAACGCUUUUUUCCUGUCUAACCAAUUGCGACGGCAAAUUUCAUACCUUUGGAAAGUUGAAAAUACUUGUCAAGAAAAGAAAAAAAAGUGGAAGUCUAGGAUUGACAGGUAUGAGGAAAUAAAGAAUUUUGGAAACUUUCUGAGGCAUUUAGUCUUUGUAAUCAUUUUUUGGUAUUCUCACACAGAACCCUAUUGCCAACCUGCCUGAGGCAAAUUUGCAUGUGUUAGGUUUAACUUCUUUUAUUUUAACUUGCCUUUAAAGUAGCCAAACCUUUGCCUCCGCGUAUGUUGGGUGGUGUUAACCCUUCAUGAAUUGACAGUGUGGUCAUUUCAUGGAUUUGUCCACUAUGGCUGUAGCUUUUCUACCAGUCAUUGGUAGACUAAUUAAACAAAUCCCGGAAGGAGACCUUGGAGCCACGAAAAUACUUUGUACAACCAGCAGGUGGCACUGUGUAUACUACAGUGAUGAAGAAACUGGGCUAUAGGAGGCAAAGAUGAAAGGGGGAAGGAAGAACUGGGAUAAUGAGAUAAUAUAAGCUAGUCUACAGAUCUUUGGGAGGUUAACAGGGCAUCUUAGAAAGCUAUAAACCAGUCUCUGAAUGUGGAAGGCUGCCAUGGAUUUGCCUUGUAAGAAUAUUUCUCAGAUUUUUAAAGCCUUUCCAGUGAUACAAUUGAUAUCUGCUUAAAUUCUACUUAUAUGCUACUGCCCUGAGUUGAAAAACAAACCUGAACAGAAUAUUUUUAGGUAAUUUUAGAAUAAACGUUUACACAUAUUCUAAAACCACAGCAUGUAAAACAGGAACUCAAGCCUGGUGUAUAUAAAAUAUAAAAAAUCACAUUUCAUGCUUAGAGAAUAUUACUCAGUAAGGAAACAGGUUAAUUUGAUUUGUUAUAUUAAAGAAAUAGUAAGGACAUUUUCCUGACCUUCAUUAGCUUUUGCAUUCUUUGUCGUCUAUGAUUCUCUUUUCUUUAAUAAUUCAUUUGAAAGAGACUUCUGUAAAUCAACUUUUAGAACAUACUUUUUGGGGUAAAUUUUUGCUGCUUUGGAAGCUCAUGUAGUGAUUUAUCUAGGUAAUCAAAUUGAAUUCAGAGAUGGCAAUGAUUAUUUACUUCCAAUUAUUAUUUACUUCUGAGAUGGAAGAAAUUGUCCAUACUACCACAGUUCUCUUGUGAGGGUUGGUGUUUGUUUCUUUUUUCCUGAGCCGUCAGAAGAAAACUUCUUUUGUAGCCUAGACCAGAGGCAGAGGCAGGUCCUGAGAAGGAAAUAUAAUUCCUGUCAAUAAACAUUUCCUAAGCUAAGGCCUCUUGGGAACACUGGCCUUUCUGUAGAAAUGUAGACUUUUCUCCCUGACAAAUUUAUGCUCUCUGGGGGCAGAUGUUUGAACUACUUUUCCUCUCUGCCUCCAGGGGUACAAAACAAUUGUGUCCACAUGUGGGUGGAGUCCAUUGUUCCAGAGGAAAGCUGAGAAGACUGUGAAUAUGUGGAGGACUGUUCUAGAAAUCAGUAAUGGAUUGAUUAUCACAUCCUACCUGAGGGCAAGGAACUGAGGUGGAAGUGGGAAGAGGAACAACAAAGCUAGAUGUAGGACAAGGUGGCAGGAAUUGGGAUCUGAGAGUGGCAAGUCAGAGUCUUAGGGUCCAGUUAUAGUGACCUCAGACUCUUGCCCAAGUUCAGAACCUUAAAUGUUGCAGCCUGCCCAGUCUGGUAGGAGCUGAGGCAGGCAUCUGGCUGAGUUGCUCAGGGAGGAUGCUAUGAGUGGUCUCUCCACGUGACUGGAAAGUUUGACCAACUGAGGUGGACCUGGGAUGGAAACCAAGUCACUAUAUAUUCAGAAACAGGGAUAUUUCUGAUUCAUCAGGGUAGGCUCCUCUCCUGUUUCUUGGAACAGAUUCCCUUCUUCUGAGUCUGGAGCCUGGGCAGUACUUGAGCAACAACAAGGAGCAUAAGUUUCCUGUCACUUCCUCUUUGGCAGGUUGUGUCUGCAGACACUGGCUCCCAUACCCCAUAAUUACUUUUUCACAUUUUUUAAUAUAGUAACACAUGGUUGGGCUUGUGGUGGGGGAACCAAGUGAUGCCUCCAGGCCAUGAACACUAUAAAUAACUUCAGGGAUCAUUUUAUAUGGUUAGGGAAGGAAGCAGCUUCUUUCUUAAGAAAUAGCUCCAAGUAAAGAAGCAGGAUUUAGGAACAAAUAACUUUUAUUUUCCAGAGCCCCUUUGCCUUUUCUGUUUCUCUAUACAUCAGAGAUCUUAUUGGUAUUAAUUUGUCUCAACAGCCUUUCUUAUACCACGUUUCUGCUUAGAGUGGUGAUUGCAGCCAUCUCAUCAUAUAGAGAAAAGUUCAUACAUUUUGUUUGUGAAUGUGCAACUUUGAGCUAUCAAGUCCAUUUUCCAGGGUUUGCUUCUGACUGUGAAUUCUGAAACAGGCACCCAUGUGCAAGUAUAUAUGUUGAUUGAAGACCCAUAUUAUUUGAAGGGACUUCAAUAAGCAAUCUAGAAACAGUUCCUCAUGCCUCUGACCACAUUUUUAAACCACUUAAGGGAACCCAAUUUUAGAGCUUCCUGGAAAUAGUAAUUUAGGACAUUUGUUGUAGAGACUCGUGUUUAGCAAUCUUCAUUGUUAAGAAGGUCUUCAUUUUAUAUAACUUUCCAAUGGAUUUAAAAUGUUUUGCUUCUUUAUUCAGUGGAGGUUGACAGUAGCUUAUUAUGAUUAGCUUUCAAUAACUACUUUUUAUAUGUCUCAGUGACCUGGUAUCCAAACUUGACAUAAUUUAAUAAUUAACACCUAAAUAAGAUCAACACUACUUUCUAUUGAAUAAAAAUCUAAUAGAAAAGUAUCUGUAGCAAAAAUAUUCCAAAAACACUUUCUAGGUUUCAUUAGAGUCGGUAUGCUUUUGCUUGACCCAUGUUUGUACAGAUUUGAUCCUCACAGUUCAUUUCUAAGCAGAGCAAGUAGUUUGGAUUAUCUUUGCAUUAUAUGUAAUAUUGCUCUAUAAUAUAUUUACAAUUCAGGAAGGCAAAGACACUAGCCCAAUGACAGAGAUACAAAAAGGACCACAACUGUGGUAGGCAUUAGAAUCAUGUUUCUCUCUUAGUGACAUUAAUUCACUGUAAUAAAACUGUAUCUAUAGGCAAAUGGACUCAUUUUAUUCCUUGCAUCUUGUGUAAGAAUUGCAUAACCAUCUGGGACCAGGAACAAAAUGCAGUGAUAGACAAGUCUGCAGGACUGAGGAGGAACAAACGGGACAGGUCUCCAGGGGAAUAUGUGAGGAAAAUCAGAAUCUAUCGUCCUUAGUCACUCUGGGUCAAUAUUUGCCAGACUCACAGGGUACCUGGCACUGUGCUCCAGGUUUCCAAUCUAACAAGCAGAGGUAUAAAUGUCUCCCUCUCACAGAAGGAACCGUCAUUUUACUUCUCUCCUGAAAAUGUGUUCUUGUAGACAGUGGUGGUUCCUUCAUCAGAGGGCUGGACCUAUAAUGUCUCUGGCUUGUGUGCACCUAAUGCUGUGGUGUUUGCAUGACUGGGGAGUCACAAAGAGACUGCAGUUGAAUUGUCAGUUCCAACAUGUAAUGCCGUUUGAUGAUUUUAUUUUAAAAACUUCUCAAGUGCUGAGAAUCUGAUACAGCAUAUGUUUUGAUGUGGUGCAGUGAUAGCCACAGUAUCUGUCAAAAGGAACCAUGAGAGAUGAAAUAGCAGAGUACUUUUCUCUCAUGAUGUAGAUGUAGCCAUACUUGCGAAGGAAAAAGCGUGUAUUGUUUCUUGGGCCCCAUUCCCUAAACUCCUACACAAACCCUGUGGGAUUAAGUAAGCUGGCACCAGUACUGCAAGUUCUUGUUAACCAUAUAUGCCCCAAGGCUCUAACACAAACAAUCCCUAUUAUAAAAUAAGACCUUUACAAAAAACAUUUUCAGAAAAUACUUGUACCUGUUUUCUGCCAUGCUGCAUUUUUUGAGAUGGUUACAUGCUUACGUUAGGGCAUGGCGUAUCGCCAAAGCUAGAGGUCUGCCUGCUGAAGUUUCAAUAGUGCUCAUUAUGAAGGAGAAGUUUCUAUUCCUACCCCUGGAAGGAAAAAGCCACUCACAGAUAAAGUGUAUGAUAUGAUUACCAUUGCUUUAGAUAACCACAAGUAGUACUUCCGACAUGAUAAGGGAUCGUUUUCUAUCUUGAGCUUACAGAGUUUAGACAGCCUUUUUAAGCAAUGGUGGUGGCAUUUUUGAAGGCCACUUGAUUAGUUUGGAUCCUGAGGGAGCAUGAAGUUGCCAUGCAGAUAAAAAUCAGCACUGGUUUCAGCUACCGUGGCAAUUGCAGCGAGAGUAGGGGGGGCUUUGGAAAAGGUUCGGAAUCAGAGAACGAAAGGCCCUAGUGACUUUGGCAGGGUUAUUUAAAGGUCUUGUGACUAAACACCAAGCAUAUCAGGAACUGUGAGAUAGUUCCUUUUCUUGUGCUGGCUUCAUGAUGGUUAAGCUCACUGAGAGAGCUAGAAUCCUCAGUCCUCAGAAGGUAUAUCAGUGAGGCAGAUUCAAAUUAAAAUAGGAGGGUUGGCUAUCAAUAUCUGGUUUGCUGGAGGGAAUAUGAACAGGGAAAUUACAGAGCUAAUGAGAAUUUAAUGAGUUAAAUUGUAGAAAGGAAAUUAAGGGCCCAUCCUGACAACUGGGCUAUUAUAUAAGCCUAAGCCCUAUUGUAUGAACCUUUUACUAUCCUCAUGAAAAAACCAGGGAUAACACUCUAAGAUGAGCAAUAUUGUUAAUUGGCAAAAUAAGAAAUGUUAGUUACUCCUUCCUGAUACUUUGACAAGUAAUUAAUAAAUGGACUGUUGACUACUACCUAAAUCCAGAGGGGGGAAACCAGAGUAGGAAUGGAGAAUUUAAAAUAAGGUCAAAGGCCGGGAAAGUGUUUGCAUGUAUGUGUGUAUGUGUGCAUAUGUAGUCAAAAAGAAAAAUUCCAAUUCGUUAUUAUAACUUGAAUGUUUAGUCUUUCCCAAGAAGCAUCUGAAAGAUCAAAAGAGGUCAGAUGUACAGAACAGGCUUAUUAAAAUGUAUUGGGAUGAGUGUUUUGAUGCUUUUUUUACCUUGAGACUGAUAGGUAACAGCAAGGAUCAGUAUAAGAAAAAAAGAACAAGAGAUUUAAUUUCUUCAACUUUUCCACCCCCGUUCCUAUGGUUCCACCCUGUGGAAUUGCUGGAGGGACUUUUAUGGUACUACCAUUGCUAGAAGGAUUGGAUAUGGUUGGGGGCUAUCUUGGGGGGAAUACUUGUCCUGGCUGUGUUUUAAUACCUAGCAUGGCACUCAAACUUAUAGUUCUUGAAGAAAAUUUCUGUGUUUUGAAUGGUAAUAGAGAAAAAGCUAUCUAUCCCCUUAACUUGCUAUCUUCAAUUUUCAUUCCUUCAUGAGAGAUGUAAUAAGUCUGGGAAUUUCCCUCUUUGCUAGGUGGGGAUGUGAUUACCCAACUGUUGGCAGGGUGCUUGGGAUUAUCCAGAUGGAAAUGCUAUUUAAGGGCUAGGUAUUAGGGUUUCACUAUUUAAAAAUUAAAAUGUCCCCAAAUGAGCUUUAUUUGUGUUUCUCUUAAAGUCCUUGUUAUAGGAAGUUGCCCACAGAGGAAAUGCAGCUCAGAGGUUUCUGGGACCAGCCAUAGCUCUUGAGAUGGGUCAGAGGCAGUCACCAGUCAGGGGCUUGGCCAACAGAACUGCUAUGUACCUUUUCCAGUUUGUAGCCCUCCCUUUCGUUCCCAGAACUAAAAGACCCUCUCUGUCACAUGGGAGACUCUCUGACCUUAGGAAAUCAAGGUAUCAUGCCCUAUGGCAUGUGGAAGCCUUAUAUGCCUUUAUGAGCUGGGUGAAGCCCUCAUGGAAUUAGUCUUAUUAGGCAGUUUUCAGGUGCUUUUUAAGUUAUAUUUUAUUUGUCUGUUUUUAAAAAGGGAUAUCAUUCUUGUCACUUUCCAUUCUUUAAAUUUCAGCUCUUGGAGUUUUCUCAGUGAGAAGGAGACUCCCAUCCUUUUUUUUUAAGGAGGGGUUUGAGAGCUCAUCCUGCUCCAGGGUUAUGGCAGAUUUGCUGUUACUGUUGCUGCUUUCUUUUCAAAGUACCGUAGGUCACAUGAUGACUUCCAGGCCCAAAUGGGGAGAUGAUGUGGAUAAAAGUAUUUAGCAAGAGAUCAAAAACUGGGCUGCACUUCUAAAUGGCUCGCCUUUUAGAAAAAACACCUUAGCCUCUCACCCAGAUGUGGUUGUGGGUAACUGUCAAUGCGGCACACAGGUGGCACAGUUGUCUUGCCAUUUACUGCCUGAUGCCUCGGCAAUUGCUGCCAGCCCUUCAGAAAUAGGAAAUGACUAAUGAUGUGGUGGAAAUUAUGAACCAGGAUUAAUAAAACUUGAAAAGGAACAGUCUUCAGUGUUUGAUCCUCCUUAGAGGAAGUUAAAUCUGAGUCCUAGAUUCUUUUCCCUGAGGUGUUCUUCUGACUUUUUCUGAUUACUCGGUUGUAGUGGGGGUCUACGCUAGAGCUAGAAACAGUGAACCAGAUGGUGCAGGAAGCAAAGUGCUGCUCCCAUCCCUGAAGGUACAGACACAUGUCCUGUUCUGCAGCCCAUCUGUGAAGAGUCCAGUUAAAGGAGACAUAAGCACAGGGCAAAUAUUUACCUUCUAAAGAUUGAGAUUUAGGCAUGUUCAUGAAGAACUUUCUGGAAAGAUUUCAUUUACUACCUGAGCAAUUUACUACCUUAUGCUUUCUCAUUAAGGACAAUUGUUUGGGUCUCCAUAGAUGUCAGGGAGUUGACAUUUUUCUUUUUAAUUUUGGAAUCAGAAUUUCUUUUUCUUAAGGCCCAUGCCAGGCAUUCUUUCACAAUACUGUGGGCCUGUCUUCUAGUUUUCUUCUCCCCACAUUCUCAGGCUCCUCUUUUCUGCUUGGGAAAAUGCUAUGUAGCCAAAAGGGUAAAUGUACAUAUUGUUUUAUAGGUGAAGAAGGUAGUAUAAGGUAUAAUGAAAAAAAAAAAUAAAAGAAACUUAUAGGAGUUUAGUAUUAUCCCUCAAUUUCACAGCUGGAAGGAGUUGAAUUCUGGAGCCCAACUCUGGGGUCUGAACCCUCUACCUUCCUGUUUUGGACCUUCAUCAAGAUGACUUCCCCUUAUAACUGAGCUUCACCAAGCUAAUGCUAGCAGGAUCCUUGAGGGCUCUUGGAAAACAGAUUCCUUCAGGACCUAGUCCUUGGAAUAUGGAUUAAAAACACUUUUCCUAGCUCCAUAUUUUCCCAAGACCUUUGUCUUAUGCUACCCUAGGACUGCAGUGGACCUGUGGCACUUGUCUCUCUUCAGAUCCUUGGGCCAUCUCUGAGAGAGAGGUUGUGCAUUUAAAAUAAGACCUUAAAUCUUCUUUUGGCUCUUGCUCCCAACUUUGUGGUCCUGUCAGUUGGCUUUGUACAAUAAUGAAAACAAAUGCUGUAAAACAGGAUUUAAUGGAUAAACAGUAGUUAAAAUGAAGAGUAUAUUUUCCCCUUGCCUUGUUAUCUUAGCUAUUCCAUUACAAAAUAAGAGGGUUAAGAAAAACCUGGUAAAACAGAAUUCGAGAGCCCAAAUAUCUGAAAAUACAUUUCAUUUAACAAAUACUUCAGUGUGUUUUCUAAUGGCUGAUCCUUUCCCAGUGGAUGGACCUACUGGAGUUUCCUCAAGUGGAAGGCCCUAUCCUUGGCUACUGGGAACCCUAAGCAUGAUGCUAAGGCGUCCUCCAUUGAUCACAGCAAUGAGAGAUGGGAAGACAGCAAGGGUAGGUCUCUGAGUGUCCCUCUCUUGUGUGUGGACGUUGCUCUGGAGGCAGAUAGGGCCUCCUAUGACAGCUUAGAAGGGGAGGCAGGACCCUCUCUAGAGCUGAAGUGGAACCACCCCUAAAGCAAGGCUCAGGAGGUGCAAAUGCUAGACAGCAGAAAUUGCACUGUCCGGUAAAGCUUUCCUUUUUUCCCUUGUCUCCUCUCUCCAGGAAGUUCUGAGAAAUUUUUCUCAGAGGAAAUGGAGUGAAAUGAGCUCUCAGGGCAGCCUUGCAAGGGAAAGCUUGUACAGGAACAGGAUGGAAGAGGGAACUUGGAUGGUGCUGAGUCGUUGUAGACAGUCAGACCUUGGCCUUAUGCACUGCUGGAUGUGCAUGUGUGAACCACGGGUCUUCUCCAGGACCUGCUGGCAAGGCUACCUCCAGUUUCCUGUGCCAAGAGUUCUGAUUCCUUCAGCGGCCUUGAAUCCAGCUCUGGGCACAGUUGGCUCCAACUGCUGAAACUUCUGCCCAGUUCUGUGCUGAAGCCUUACACUAACUGUGGCUCCAUGAGUGGGUGCCUGUCUGUCUUGCACUUGGUUCUGGCAUUCUGCUUCAGCACUUGGCCAAAAGGCCAGCCACUGGGUUUGUGGAGCUGGAUUUGCAGUGGCCCUUGACUGCUGCUCUGCAAAGGUUUUCUUUCUUCCCUUUUACAUUGUUGUCUUCAGGCUGGCACUUGAAGGAGCCCAACGGGCCAUUACAGUCACACAGUCAAACAAAGAUCUUUUAAGAGAACAAUCGUCAUUUGUUUCCCAGUUGGCAUUUCUGGAGAUUUAGCAGGAUAAUCUUGGAUGUACGUCAGCAAGCAUGAGCAGGAAUCAUCUUAAUCCUUAACAAGGCAUACAAAUGAAUUGGGACCACGUGAAAAGUGUACAAAGAAUUUCUCUUUCUUCUUUCUUCUCCUGAAUUCCAGCUGUAGGGGCUUGUGUAAUUUUUGUUGGGGGAGGGGGAGUUUCCUUUUGAUCCAGUAACCUGAUGCAGAGAUGGGACUCCCUAGGGUUUCACCUUUGGGGAUCCUCUGGGCACUUUGUGUAUUCUAGCAUACUCUUUAUUCCCGAAGAGAGCUACUGCCCCAACUCCCUGUCACAGGCAGAUCCCUUGAAGUCUUAGCUGGGAAACACAGCUUGGACUGUUCUAGUCAUUCUUUUAAAGUCCUGACUUGAGUUAGCCUCAAAAAGGCAACUACUGAAUUCCCAAUUCCAUUUGAUUUUACAAAGGCAAAUGAGCUCCCCACAUACAAGGACCUCCAGCUGUUUCCUCUAAAAGAAGAGAGAACAGCAAGGAUGUCCAAGAGUCUCUCCCCAACAGUUGCUUCCUCCUCAAGCAUCUACCAGUUAUGUCAGACCUGUCUGAGGAGACAGAAGGGGCAGAGGGAGAGGUAUUUGUUGACUCCUUCACCCGCAAAGUGAGACUCCAUGAUGCCUGUGAUACGAGUAGGUCCCUCUUUGAGGAGCUUGAGGAAGUUAGGCAGGAAAGGGAGGGAAUAUAUGGAGCCAGCACUUUUCUCUCAGCAGUGCAAGAAUUGUUGGGAACUUUUAUUUUUCUUGUUUGUUGUUUGAUCCGCUGUGCUCAUUGAUGUUAUUGUUAAACCAGUUUCAUUUAUAUGGAAAUUUUUAAAUCUAAUUUGCAUUUUCCAGGAUUUUUUCUCCCCAUAUUUAGACAAAUUAA